rnacentral:ncRNA from 1 species
UAUCUGGUUGAUCCUGCCAGUAGUCAUAUGCUUGUCUCAAAGAUUAAGCCAUGCAUGUCUAAGUUCAAGCGAAAAUAAAGUGAAACCGCGAAUGGCUCAUUACAUCAGUUAUGGUUCCUUAGAUCGCACUUACUACUUGGAUAACUGUGGUAAUUCUAGAGCUAAUACAUGCGCUGGGCCCCAACCCUCGUGGAAGGGGCGCUUUUAUUAGAUCAAAGCCAAUCGGGUCUUCGGGCUCGUUUUGUUGGUGACUCUGAAUAACUUUGCUGAUCGCAUGGUCUCGUACCGGCGACGUAUCUUUCAAGUGUCUGCCUUAUCAACUGUCGAUGGUAGGUUAUGCGCCUACCAUGGUUGUAACGGGUAACGGGGAAUUAGGGUUCGAUUCCGGAGAGGGAGCCUG